AGCACUCUUAAAAAUGAAGACUGCAACUUCACAGGCAAUUGAAAUCCGUGUUCAGAGGACGUACAUGUGACUUGAGUCCUCCUUCCAAAGCUGGAGGCGGGGCGCGGGGGGAGGUUCUGUAGCUGCUAGGACCGUUAGAAGUUCCUUGGAAAGGUUGGCUCAAGCGACCACAUUCAGAGAAAAGGGACAGACACAGAAGAGUGGGCUCAGAGUGGAGGGAAAGACUCACCUAAGAUGGUGAACAGCCUGUAGUAUGAAGACCAGACAUCAUAGGGCGAAAGGCAGAAACAGAAGAGCUACACAGCAGCCCUGGUCUCUAAUGGCUCCUUUCUCCUCCAGCUCUGCCUCCUGACUCCCUGACCUUGCCCAAGAGGAAGAAGAGCUGACUAGUUUCCAGGGAUCAAACUCGGGACCUUGCACUUGUGAGGAAAUAAAUUCUGUGACUGUGCUGAGCGUGCUAAGAGCUCCGGCUGGAGCACAGAUCUUCACUAUCUUCAGGGAGUCCGCACCAGAGAGAAAUCAUUCACAUGUGACUCGUGACACAGAGGCUUCAGUUACAACACCAAUCUGCACUCGCGAGAGCGUCCACACUGGAGAGAAAGCUUUUGUGUGUGAUGCACGUGGCAAAGGCUUCAGGUACAACCCCAGUCUCCAAAUUCAUGAGAAGAUCAUGCAGGGGAGGAGCCGGCGGAGUUCCCACCUUCACCUGAGGUCCACACGAGGGAAGCUGUUUGCAAUGAAAUUCUUGAAACACAAAUCUUGGCGCUCAUCAGGAAGUCCACACGGGAGAGAGACCGGUCACCGUGAGGAGAGUGAGGGCUUCCCUCAGAGCUCCGGUCUUCAGUCAUCAGGCCGCCCAACAAGUGGCGUGGGUGGUGAGGGCUCCAGCCACAGAUGUCUGAGUUACAGAAUAAGAACUCGUUAAAUGCCGUACUUGAGACAAGGGCUUCACUUACAGCAAAACCCUUCAUGUUCACAAGCAUCCACAUCGGGUGCAGAGGCUAAGUACGCUGGAGUCUUCGCAUCUUUCCACGUCGACACGGGAGAGAAGGCCGGCUAGUGUGGCGUGUGGUGUGUGGCGUGUGGCGAGAACGUCUCCUGGGGCACGCGGCGCCCCUUCUACCAACGAGCCUGUUACUCAAGACAGCUCCAUGAGAGUGUUUUGUUUUGCUUUCUUUUUCCGGUACCAGGAUCAAACUGGGAAGGCAGGCGCAGCUCCUCUGAGCUAAAUCUCUGGCCCACCUGUGAGUGUUUUGCCCGCCUGUGUCUUCAGCUCCUAACUCAGCACCUGGCACAGAGUGGCCGCUCCAUAGGUGUGGGUGAGGGUCCGCGUGUGAGAGAAUCCCCGUUCACGUGAUGUGCAUGGCUGCUGGAUGCGUCUCACAGGAGAUUGUAGAAGUCACCAGAUGAGGCGUGUGCAGGAAGCCAUGUGAAGAAUAUUCUCCUAAGGGAAUUGGCAAGAACAGUGUAGAAAACAGCUGGCAGUCCCUCCCAGCUGUCCACCUGACACCCAGGAACCAGAGUUUGGAAAGAUGCUUCACAGAGAAAAUGCAGAGAGCACAGAUCUUCAACUCUUCCCAUUGCUGUCAUGGAGAAGUGGAAAUGAGGAACAACCCAGCCUCAUCUCCUGGUGGGGACACAGGC